rnacentral:rRNA from 1 species
GGAGCGCGUCUAUCUGCAGUAGACGCUGAGGUUUGGUGUUUACACUAGACUGAUGAGUUGCGAACGGGUGAGUAACGCGUAGGUAACCUGCCUCAUAGCGGGGGAUAACUAUUGGAAACGAUAGCUAAUACCGCAUAAGAGUAAUUAACACAUGUUAGUUAUUUAAAAGGAGCAAUUGCUUCACUGUGAGAUGGACCUGCGUUGUAUUAGCUAGUUGGUGAGGUAAAGGCUCACCAAGGCGACGAUACAAAGCCGACCUGAGAGGGUGAUCGGCCACACUGGGACUGAGACACGGCCCAGACUCCUACGGGAGGCAGCAGUAGGGAAUCUUCGGCAAUGGACGGAAGUCUGACCGAGCAACGCCGCGUGAGUGAAGAAGGUUUUCGGAUCGUAAAGCUCUGUUGUUAGAGAAGAACGUUGGUAGGAGUGGAAAAUCUACCAAGUGACGGUAACUAACCAGAAAGGGACGGCUAACUACGUGCCAGCAGCCGCGGUAAUACGUAGGUCCCGAGCGUUGUCCGGAUUUAUUGGGCGUAAAGCGAGCGCAGGCGGUUCUUUAAGUCUGAAGUUAAAGGCAGUGGCUUAACCAUUGUACGCUUUGGAAACUGGAGGACUUGAGUGCAGAAGGGGAGAGUGGAAUUCCAUGUGUAGCGGUGAAAUGCGUAGAUAUAUGGAGGAACACCGGUGGCGAAAGCGGCUCUCUGGUCUGUAACUGACGCUGAGGCUCGAAAGCGUGGGGAGCNAACAGGAUUAGAUACCCUGGUAGUCCACGCCGUAAACGAUGAGUGCUAGGUGUUAGGCCCUUUCCGGGGGCUUAGUGCCGCAGCUAAACGCAUAAGCACUCCGCCUGG